ACGAACGCUGGCGGCGUGCUUAACACAUGCAAGUCGAACGGAAAGGCCCUGCUUGCAGGGUACUCGAGUGGCGAACGGGUGAGUAACACGUGGGUGAUCUGCCCUGCACUUCGGGAUAAGCCUGGGAAACUGGGUCUAAUACCGGAUAGGAGCCAUUUUUAGUGUGAUGGUUGGAAAGUUUUUUCGGUGUAGGAUGAGCUCGCGGCCUAUCAGCUUGUUGGUGGGGUAAUGGCCUACCAAGGCGGCGACGGGUAGCCGGCCUGAGAGGGUGGACGGCCACAUUGGGACUGAGAUACGGCCCAGACUCCUACGGGAGGCAGCAGUGGGGAAUAUUGCACAAUGGGCGCAAGCCUGAUGCAGCGACGCCGCGUGGGGGAUGACGGCCUUCGGGUUGUAAACUACUUUCGCUAGGGACGAAGCUUUUUGUGACGGUACCUAGAUAAGAAGCACCGGCUAACUACGUG
rnacentral:rRNA from 1 species